UCUUCUAUAGGUUAUAUCAUUAAACCGUUGGCUUGUGGUGCCGGAGAAUUAUUAUGUGGUAAUAGAGGAA
rnacentral:tRNA from 1 species